rnacentral:rRNA from 1 species
CAGUCGCCGCGGUAAUACGAAGGGUGCAAGCGUUAAUCGGAAUUACUGGGCGUAAAGCGCGCGUAGGUGGUUUGGUAAGAUGGAUGUGAAAUCCCCGGGCUCAACCUGGGAACUGCAUCCAUAACUGCCUGACUAGAGUACGGUAGAGGGUGGUGGAAUUUCCUGUGUAGCGGUGAAAUGCGUAGAUAUAGGAAGGAACAUCAGUGGCGAAGGCGACCACCUGGACUGAUACUGACACUGAGGUGCGAAAGCGUGGGGAGCAAACAGGAUUAGAUACCCCUGUAGUCCCUGUCUCUUAUAC